UACAGAGGGUGCGAGCGUUGUCCGGAAUCACUGGGCGUAAAGGGCGCGUAGGCGGCCUGAUAAGUAGGGGGUGAAAUCUUGCGGCUCAACCGCAAGGCUGCCUUCUAAACUGUCAGGCUGGAGCACGGUAGAGGCAGAUGGAAUUCCCGGUGUAGCGGUGGAAUGCGUAGAGAUCGGGAGGAACACCUGUGGCGAAAGCGGCUCACUGGACCGCAACUGACGCUGAGGCGCGAAAGCUAGGGGAGCAAACAGG
rnacentral:rRNA from 1 species